AGCAAGCUCACAUCGUCUUUAACUGUGUUGGUCAUUAGCUUUUCAACCAUCUCUUCUGCUGAAAGUUCCCUGUUGCCAUUUUUGUUUAUAAGCUCUCUGAAACUCUGGUCCAGUCGCUGUGCCUUGGGCCAUGGAGAGUCGAGUUGUGCAUUUGUGAGGACAUGAAUGCCGGGGGAAACCUCAGUGACAAGGCUGUCGCUGUCAUUUGUUUGUCUGUUGGUGAUGUAAGACAUGGUUUUGGAGGAAAUGUCAGCAAUUAUUAAGUUGAAACCGUUGUACUGGUGUGCUUCCUUUGCAACUUCUUUGGCAAAGUCAAGUGGACUCUUCUGGCUUUUCAAGAAACGAACGGGGAGCUCUCCCCUGCUCUUAGCCUGAGGAAGCGACUGAACUUCCCUGAAAUUUGUGAUGAAUGCAACUCUGCCAUUUCUUGAGCAAGCCAGCCACGUCCCACCGG
rnacentral:misc_RNA from 1 species